rnacentral:rRNA from 1 species
CCUACGGGUGGCAGCAGUGGGGAAUAUUGCACAAUGGGGGGAAGCCUGAUGCAGCGACGCCGCGUGAGUGAAGAAGUCUUUCGGUAUGUAAAGCCCUUUCAGCAGGGAAGAAAAUGACGGUACUUGUCUAAGAAGCCCUGGCUAAUUACGUGCCAGCAGCCGCGGUAAAACGGAGGGGGCAAGCGUUAACCGGAUUUACUGGGUGUAAAGGGAGCGUAGACGGUUUGGCAAGUCUGAUGUGAAAGCCCAGGGCUCAACCAGGGGACUGCUUUGGAAACUGUAAAACUGGAGUGCAGGAGAGGUAGGCGGAAUGCCUGGUGUAGCGGUGAAAUGCGUAGAUAUUAGGAGGAACACCAGUGGCGAAGGCGGCUUACUGGACUGUAACUGACGUUGAGGCUCGAAGGCGUGGGGAGCAAACAGGAUUAGAUACCCGAGUAGUC